GUGUCAGCCGCCGCGGUAAUACGAAGGGUGCAAGCGUUACUCGGAAUUACUGGGCGUAAAGCGUCCGCAGGCUGUUUAGUAAGUUUGAUGUGAAAUCCCACUGCUCAAAGGUGGACGUGCAUUGAAUACUGCUAGACUAGAGUGCAAGAGGGGUGAGUGGAAUUCCUGGAGUAGAGGUGAAAUUCGUAGAUAUCAGGAGGAACAACGGUGGCGAAGGCGACUCACUGGAUUGCAACUGACGCUCAUGGACGAAAGUGUGGGGAGCGAACGGGAUUAGAUACCCCGGUAGUCCACACCGUAAACGUUGAAUACUAGAUGUUGGGGACCUACCGCCCCAGUGUCGUAGCUAACGCGUUAAGUAUUCCGCCUGGGUAGUACGAUCGCAAGAUUAAAACUCAAAGAAAUUGACGGGGACCCGCACAAGCGGUGGAUGAUGUUCUUUAAUUCGAUGCAACGCGAAGAACCUUACCUGGGCUUGACAUCCUGCGCCAACCUAAGAAAUUAGGUGUUCUCUUCGGAGACGCAGUGACAGGUGUUGCAUGGCUGUCGUCAGCUCGUGUCGUGAGAUGUUAGGUUAAGUCCUGCAACGAGCGCAACCCCCGCCGUUAGUUGCUACCAUUAAGUUGGGCACUCUAACGGGACCGCUAGCUGAUAAGGCAGAGGAAGGAGGGGAUGACGUCAAGUCCGCAUGACCCUUAUGCCCAGGGCUAGAAACGUCAUACAAUGGAGACAACAAAGCGUAGCUAUACCGCGAGGUGGCGCUAAUCGCACAAAUGUAUCCUCAGUACGGAUUGGAGUCUGCAACUCGACUCCAUGAAGUUGGAAUCGCUAGUAAUCGUGGAUCAGCAUGCCACGGUGAAUACGUUCCCGGGUCUUGCACACACCGCCCGUC
rnacentral:rRNA from 1 species